UAAACAAAAGUAGGCAUUUAAUUAAAUCAAAAUAAAUGAAAAUUAAAGUAACCGAUCCUUAAUACAGAGUUUUGACAACCGACUAUAGAGAGAUUUCUUAAUACACGUGUCACCAGGCUGUUAUUUAGGAACUUUUUUAUUUUCUCUUCUUUCUCUUCUUUCUCUCCUCUUCUCUCGUGUUCGUCGACUCAAAGAAAAACGACAGAGAUGCCCGCUUGAUCGCCGGCGUUCUGUUUCUCUCCGGCCGCCGAGUCUUUCACCUUUUUUUACUAGUAAGAUUUUCGUUCUCUUAUCGAUGUCUUUGUUUAUUAUUAUUAUUUUUAAUCGUUAGUUGAAUCUGUUUGCAAAUCUUCGUUGAUGUGAUUAAAUUGGCUUAGAUUAACCUUUUGUAUGUGUUUGAUUGUUGAUUGUUCGAUAUGUAUCUACUGGAGAUUGAAACAUAGGCUCAGUCUCGUGGGUACAGUAGCUUUCGAUCUGGCUUUAACCGCCGCUGCAGCCUUCGCCGCCGAUGAUCAUCUUCGUGAAAACGUCCCCGUCAUGGUGGUCGAGACUGUUUUCCCUGGAGGAUCCGACCCGAAGGCUACUGUCUCAACCCGAUUGGCUUGGUCUUGUUUUCUAAGCAGGUAACAUGACACAAGACGAGGCAUGAAGUUGGUUGCUGUUUCUAAAAAAACACGAGGCAUGAAGUUGGUAGAAAGUUACUUGGGAGUGGAAGGAUCACGGACUUGUGUCUUGUGGUGAUUGUGUCUUGUGGUGAUUGUAUCAUUACAAUCAUCCAAGCAGCAGCUGGUGCUGGCCGUACAAUGCUGAUAAGUGAUAGUGGAAACGUUUACUCGUGUGGGAAAGAUUCGUUCGGUGAAGCUGAAUACGGAGGGCAAGGGUCUAAUGUUCCUGGUCUUGUUGUCUAGUUCGUAUGUCAGGAUCACUCACUCUAUCUUCAAAGAACGUCAAGAAUGGCUCGGGAAAGGUGUGUGUGUGUGUUGGAGUGUGUGUUGGAGUGUCACGAGAUAUGUGUGUCUGUUGUAGUUGUUGUCUUGUGGCACAAACAGUUUAUAAAUCACAAGAGAAGUGUUGUUGUUGUUGUCUUGUGUCGCGGGUGAUUUAUAAAUCACAAGAGAAGUUGUAGUUGUUCUCUUGUGUCACAGACACUUUAUAAAUCACAAACACACUUGAUUCUCUUUAUAAAUCACAAUCAAUUCUUCUCCUUCUCUUCA